rnacentral:rRNA from 1 species
GACGAACGCUGGCGGCGCGCCUAACACAUGCAAGUCGAACGGAGUUGUGUUGAAAGCUUGCUGGAUAUACAACUUAGUGGCGGACGGGUGAGUAACACGUGAGUAACCUGCCUCUCAGAGUGGAAUAACGUUUGGAAAUGACUGCUAAUACCGCAUAAGCGCACGUCAUCGCAUGAUGGUGUGUGAAAAACUCCGGUGGUAUGAGAUGGACCCGCGUCUGAUUAGGUAGUUGGUGGGGUAACGGCCCACCAAGCCGACGAUCAGUAGCCGACCUGAGAGGGUGACCGGCCACAUUGGGACUGAGACACGGCCCAA